UACGUAGGGUGCGAGCGUUGCCCGGAUUUAUUGGGCGUAAAGGGCGCGUAGGCGGUCACGCACGUCCGUUGUGAAAUCGCUCGGCUCAACUGGGCGGGGUCAGCGGAUACGGCGUGGCUGGAGCAAGCUAGGGGGCAAUGGAAUUCCCGGUGUAGUGGUGGAAUGCGUAGAUAUCAUGAGGAAGACCAGUGGCGAAGGCGGGUCUCUGGACAGUUCCUGACACUGAUGCACGAAGGCCAGGGGAGCAAACGGG
rnacentral:rRNA from 1 species